rnacentral:RNase_P_RNA from 1 species
GAAGCCAACCAGAUGAUCGCGGGGGCAUGGACCGAAAGGUCGCCUCUGAGGAAAGUCCGAGCUCCAUAGGGCAAGGUGCUGGGUAACGCCCAGUGGGGGAAACCCCAAGGAAAGUGCAACAGAGAUAUACCGCCGAUAGCGGAGGUCAGUUAUCAGAGGUCAGAGCAGGUUAGUUCUAAUCCGGCUUCUGGAUUCUGACGACUGACUUCCGAGUAGGUAAGGGUGGAAAGGCGAGGUAAGAGCUCACCGGCAGUCAGGUGACUGGCUGGCCAUGUAAACCCCACCUGGAGCAAGACUGAAUAGGGGAACUAUGAACGGCCCGUUUUUGUUCCCGGGUAAGGUCGCUAGAGGCCGUCGGUAACGGCGGUUCGAGAUAGAUGAUCAUCACCUCCAUACGGAGGUACAGAACUCGGCUUAUAGGUUGACUUCGCAA